rnacentral:rRNA from 1 species
UAGGGAAUCUUCCGCAAUGGACGCAAGUCUGACGGAGCAACGCCGCGUGAGUGAAGAAGGAUUUCGGUUCGUAAAACUCUGUUGUUAGAGAAGAACAGCGCAUAGAGUAACUGUUAUGCGUGUGACGGUAUCUAACCAGAAAGCCACGGCUAACUACGUGCCAGCAGCCGCGGUAAUACGUAGGUGGCAAGCGUUGUCCGGAUUUAUUGGGCGUAAAGCGAGCGCAGGCGGUCAAUUAAGUCUGAUGUGAAAGCCCCCGGCUCAACCGGGGAGGGUCAUUGGAAACUGGUUGACUUGAGUGCAGAAGAGGAGAGUGGAAUUCCAGGUGUAGCGGUGAAAGGCGUAGAUAUAUGGAGGAACACCAGUGGCGAAGGCGACUCUCUGGUCUGUAACUGACGCUGAGGCUCGAAAGCGUGGGUAGCAAACAGG